GGUCCUUUGAAACCUAAAGGUAGACCUUCCCUCACUGGAUCCCAUUAAAACCUAAUUUCGUACACUUUUCGAUUGGAAAAACCCUAAUUUCAAUUGGAUCUUAAUCAAAUUAUAGUUCGAAAGAACAAUUGUAGAAUGUCUCAGAAUCAGAAACACGGAGCAGAUCAGCCGGACAUUGGUGGGCCCACACCGAAAUCACAGCGCACCAAAAUUGUUAAAUCUUCAGACGAUAAUGAGAAAAAGACUUUGGGCAAGAAGCUUAAAGAUUCAGAAAUUUGUGUCCCAAUUGUGUAUGGUAACAUUGCGUUUUGGCUUGGCAAGAAAGCUAGCGAGUACGAGUCUCAUAAAUGGACAGUUUAUGUGCGUAGCUCUACGAAUGAGGACCUGGGAGUGGUGAUAAAGCGAGCUGUUUUCCAACUUCAUUCAAGUUUUAACAAUCCCACGAGGGUUGUUGAAGGUCCUCCUUUUGAAUUAUCGGAGUCUGGAUGGGGUGAAUUUGAAAUCGUCAUUACCCUUCAUUUCCACAGUGACAUUACUGAAAAGCCAUUGCACUUGUAUCACCAUUUGAAGUUGUACCCUGAGGAGGAGUCUGGUCCCAUGUCCAUGAAGAAGCCUGUUGUCGUGGAAUCCUAUGACGAAAUUGUCUUUUCCGAGCCUUCAGAGGGUUUCCUUGCACGCGUGCAGAAUCAUCCUGCCGUUAUUAUGCCUAGACUACCCAGUGGCUUUUUGUUGCCUCCUGUGCCGAUGGAGGAUAUUGACAGUGGGAACAGGGGUGAUACCAAAAAUAAUCCCCUAAACCAGUGGUUCACCAAUUUCUCUGAGGCCGAUGAACUAUUAAAACUAGCUGCCGCACGCCAGCAGUUAAAGAUGUAAAUUCGUUUUCAUGUCAACUUUUCUGGAUGAGAACUGGAGGUGAAAAUGCAUCAAAUUUGGACUAUCAAGGAGCUAAAUGCUAAGCGAAAGAGAUUGUGGAUAGAAGUGCAAAAUGGCCAAAAGUUUGGGUAUUGUUUGUGCAUUUUACCCAAAGACGAAUAGAAAAGACUGAUCAUUUUCCCCCAGAAUCCCAUUCAAACAACCCUCCACUCAUGUCUUUGGUAUUUGUGGAGAGAAUAUACUAUUACUGUCAUCUCCAGUUGGCAAAGAUGUGGGAUUUAAAUGGUGUGCAUUUUUUGAACUCAUGACUGCCAAUUUUGAAGACCAUUUCCUAGAAAAUUGAAGAGAUUGAUUGGUGAUGGUGGUGUUCUGCAACUUGAUUCAUCUUUUUCUUGCCUAAGCCACUACCAUAAAAUCAACCCUCGAACAGAUUUGUGGCUGUGUGGAUUGGGGCAUGGGGCAGAAGUGCAAGCUCAUAUUGCGAGACUCAGAAGGCAGUUGAGUUUGAUAGACGGGCAGCAACAACUGAAAUCUGCAUCUGACGUGUAAAUUUUCAAUGCAUCUAAUCUAACCUAUUAAACUUAAUCAUUCCAAGAGAUUAAGAUAUCAAUGGUUUCAAUUCAUGUGUGAUUGAACUAAUUCCUUUGCUCCUUUUUUUGUCAUUUUUGACGUGAAACCUUCAAUGUAUUUCAUGAAGGAGGAGAAAAAUUGGCAGUCAAAUCGACUCUUAUAUAUGGAGAUAUACUAGUUCAGUGCUUUGUAUAAUUUGUGGGAACUCUUAAAACACUUUCAACAUACUCUACUCCAUAGUUAUAGGCAUUAAUAUUCUGAUUCGAGGUUUUAUUCAAGGUUCUGAGAAUUUAACAGCA